GCCCACGUAGCUCAGUUGGCAGAGCACUUCCUUGGUAAGGAAGAGGUCACCGGUUCGAGUCCGGUCGCGGGCUCCA
rnacentral:tRNA from 1 species